rnacentral:rRNA from 1 species
AAUGAACGCUGGGGGCGUGCCUAAUACAUGCAAGUCGAGAGAAAAGCCCAGGAGCUUGCGCCUCUGCCGUUAGCGGCGGAGGGGUGAGUACCACGUGGACCACCUACCUAUAAGACUGGGAUAACAUCGGGAAAGGGGAGCUACUGGCGGAUAAUAUAUUGAACCGCAUGGUUCAAUGGUGAAAGACGCUGUUGCGGUCCCUUAUGGCGGGAUCCGGGCCGCGUUAGCUAGUGGGUAAGGUAACGGCUUACAAAGGUAGCGAUGCGUAGCCGACCGGAGGGGGUGAUCGGCCACACUGGACGUGGGACACGGACAAGAGGACUACGAUAGGCAGCAGUAGGGAAUCGGCCGCAGUGGGCGAAAGCUUGACGCAGCAACGCCGCGUGAGAUAUGAAGGUCUUCGGAUCGUAAAACCCGGUUAUGGGUGAUGAACAACUGUCUAAGUAACUAUGCACUUCGUGACGGUACCGGGUCAGAAAGCCACGGCUAACUACGUG